rnacentral:rRNA from 1 species
CAGCCGCCGCGGUAAUGCGCAGGGGGCUAGCGUUGCUCGGAAUUACUGGGCGUAAAGGGAGCGUAGGCGGGUCGUUUAGUCAGAGGUGAAAUCCCGGGGCUCAACCUCGGAACUGCCUUUGAUACUGGCGACCUUGAGUAUGGGAGAGGUAAGCGGAACUCCGAGUGUAGAGGUGAAAUUCGUAGAUAUUCGGAAGAACACCAGUGGCGAAGGCGGCUUACUGGCCCAUUACUGACGCUGAGGCUCGAAAGCGUGGGGAGCAAACAGGAUUAGAUACCCGAGUAGUCCCUGUCUCUUAUAC